AGACGUUUUGAAAUGAUCAUGUACGUUCACUCGGACUCAUUUUUCAAUCGGUAUUUCAUUUCUCGCUUCGCCAGAUAUUUUUCUUAUUGAAAAUGCAUAAUUCUAUAUCAUGAACAAACUGGAAAAUCUAGUAAAUUGUGUUAUUUCGUAUUUAUCUUAACCAAAUCUAAAUAUAAAGCAAUAAUGAACUUGGACUUCUACUUGUCCAAUUACUAUUUAAUGAAAAACUUUGCUAAGAACUUAUUUUUUUUGCAAAUAACUGAAAACCGGCAGCUCUGUCAGUUAAGCGUAUAUUUAUUUGAGCUUUUCGAUUUGUCCUCAUUCAUUUAUACAAAAGUGAAAAAUUUUUAUCAGAAAUGGAAAAUAAUAUUAAAAAACGAAAUUUAUGGAACCAUAUAGAAAUUACUGAAAUGCUUUCAGUAAUUAAAGAGAACCAUGUGGCUCGAGAACUGAAGGCAAAGGGACAUAAUACGGCACAGUACAAAUAAGAACGAAGUUUAAUUCAUUAAAAAGUGAAUACUAUAAAGUAAAGCGUAAUAAUAACACCAUUGGCGGUGAAAGACAGACAUGCGAAUAUUUUGACUUACUGGAUGAAGUUUUAAGCCAUCGCCCAGCAAUAGCGACAGAGGGAGAGGACACCUCACACAAUAAUUCGGAGAAUGGUACAGCUGAAUCUGAACACCCUCAAAUUCAAGCAAGUUCAACGAAAACUUUUAAAAAUCCAAAAAAGAAAACCUACCAAAGGGUAAUGGAGUAUUUUACCAAAAACUGGAAGUAGACUCGGGACAAUUUAAUCGACGCAAUAAAGGUGCAGCACACAAAUUAUUUAAGCACCAUG